UGUCUGAGUGUGAGUGUGAGUGUGAGUGUGCGUGUGUGAGGUGCCAUUAAGAAAUGUGUCAAAACAUGUGAGGAAUUAUAUAAGCUAAAAUACGACAACAGCAGGGGGUAAGGAUAGGCAGAGGAUAUGCCAGAAUGCCACAAUGCCAGAAGCCGCAGAAGAAGACCUUCUUCCAUGGCGAUUACGACAAGGUGUCUGUGAUAUCGCCCUACGGAUGUUGAGUGGGAUCUUCUGGGACUAUGAGGAUGCAUUAGCUGCCUGCAGCCUGGACGCAUCCCACGCUGUCUGCAAAUAUUAAGGAAGCACAAAGACCUAGCUACCGGCCUCCACCUCAACGACGUCGACCUCAAGUUGAUUUUAAAUUUAUUUGUACUUGGAUGCGAACAACAAGACCUAGAUCUCGGCCUGGAAUGGAAGUAACUCCUGCAUAACGUCCACUAUUGACGCCACAGCACCACAACGUGUUCAUUUGCUGAUUCCAACGUUUAUUUACCAAUUCCGAUCUUGCCCAGGACCAGGACCCAGGACGGCGCUCUCCUUGCUUUAUUCUGUUUAUUUUUCUUGAUUUCGUGAGCAUGUAAAUUUAGUAAUUUAGAAAUGAAAUGAAGCAUGGAGGCCGAAGUAUGUAAAAUUAAGCAACUGAAAACAUACACAUAUUAAAAUCAGGCACGCCUUUUUAUUGGACGUGUUCGGAUCGGUCAGAAAUGUAUCUAAGUUCUUAUAUAUGU
rnacentral:sRNA from 1 species